CUAAUGAGUGAAUUGUUUACCUGAGUACUGGGAGUGUCUCAGUAGGUGAUAAUCAUCCCUGAAGAGAGGGGUGUGGGAGCCUUUGGUUUGUAGCCAAUCAAUCAGAAACACGGGUAAUGACCUGUACUGGCAUCUGGGGUUUCAAGCUGGGAGUGUGAGGCCAUCUAUGGAAUUGAUCCCUGUGGGAUCUGAUGCCAUCUCCAGGUAGACAGUGUCAGUAUGGAGUUAAGUUGUCGGACACCCAGUUGUGUCUGCAGAGAACUGGGGAGUUGUUUGUGUGGAAAAGCCCACAUUUCUGGUGUCAGAAGUAGAGUAUCAAGAGUGAUAAGGAAAUGUGUAACUGUAGAAAGAAAAAGGGCCUUUCCCUGUUCAUUUACGACAGGGAGGAAGUGGAAGGUGGCAGGACAGGGGGAAGCCCCUUCCCGGGCCUUCCCUGAAGGCUGCUGUGCCUCCUGUACUCACGGUAGAAACCCGGAGAGAGAUGAGUUUCCACAGACCCUUCCGGUCCUGGUUUCCUCACCUGUGAGAGUGACUGCCUUCUGGGGUUCGUUAGGGUUUAGAACCAGAUGUCCCCAGAGCAUCAGACACUCACAGAUGGGGCUUUUGGGCCACGGUUGGAUCACGAGCACCUAGCUGACUUGUUGUCAGGAGAUGGGUCGGUCCCUGGAAGGUCCGCCUCCCUCCCCAGCUCCUCCUUUGACCCACUGCUUCCUGGCCGCCAUGCUACGAGCAGUGCUCCUCCGCCAGGCCCCUCUGUCAGGCCGCCCUGCCUUCGAGCCAGCAGCUGGGAACGGAAACCGCUACAGACGACCCUGUGCCCGUGUUCAGGUAAGCGGAGGCGGAAGGCACCAGACUGCAGCACAGCCACAAGUCCUGACUCCGACGGAGCCCGGGUGUGUAUCGCACAGGGACUGCGUCUCAAGCACUCAUGGUGUGGCAGGCAGCAGGUGAGAGCUGCCAAGCGUGGUGGGGCGUGCCAGGUGGGAAGGCAAGCGCUUGGCUCUAGACUCUGCCUGGACUUGCUCCUGUCCUGGCUCUGAGUGGCUUGGGGACCUCAGGCAGGGUGCUCCAGCUUUCCCAGCCUCCUCGCCGUGGCCCAUAAGGUGGAGGUGGUGAUGGCAGCAGUGUGUGACACUGUGUGUCAAGUGCAGAGUGUGGCUCGCUGUGCAGAAGAUGCCAGUCACCGCCAUGGCCUUUUCUAUGCUCAUUACCUCUGGGGUGGGAGUUCAGAGAGGGGACAGCACAUGAGCCUGACUGGGAAGGGUGCAUGCCGCUGGUUUGCCGAAGCUGGCAGGAAGGCAGGGUCACCAUGUCACACAGCUCUGAGAACAGCGCUCAUGUCGUAGACUCCUGGCUGGCACUUCCUGGAGUUGCAGAGUCCCAGCCACCAAGGCAAUGUACCAAUGCCCAUCUUCUUGGGGGGCAGCUGCUGGUCUCCUCAUGCCUGGGUACAGAGAGGAGAGAUGCUUGGGGUUGCCUGGGUGGACAUACAGCAGCCACAGCAAACAGGUGCAGCGUGCCUUGGGGUAAAUCAGCUCUGAGGGCCACAUCUCCCAGGGGGCCCCGAGUCACCAGUUCUGUCCUCGUGACCCAGGCAUCUGGCCACCUUCCAUUUAUGCCAUGAGUGUGAAGCUUAAUUCCAUGUAAGACAGGGCUGUGUUGAAUUCCACGAGAGAGGCUGAGUCUCCAGGAGGCUCAAGAUGCUGCAGAGGUUGGCAUCUGUGGGGCUGCAUAGGGGUUUAGAGCUCAGGGCCCACAGCAAAGAGCAGGGCAUCGCUCCCUGCCCCGUCCCCGGCGGAAGUGGGCUUCACUGCACCUGCUGCGUGCCUUCCAAGACCCCCAGACUCUGGGACUUGGAGGCGCAAAUCAGACUUGCCUGAGCUGAACUGAGUGAGUACCAUCGGCUCCUCUCUUGACUCCGUCUUAUUGGGUCUGCUGCCCUGUCUCUCUUAGAAAUUCCGCCAAGGUGAGCAGCUCUCCACCUGCCUGCUUGUAAAUCCUGGUUCACUGAACAUAGCUGCAGGACCUUGGCCAGACACGACCACCGUCUGGGCCUCAGUUUCCUCGUCUCCAUUGGUGACAGCAGCAGCGCCGCUGUCAGGAGGAUGUAGGCAGGUUAUUUGAGAAGUGUCAGUGCAUAUAGAAAACAGCUGUUUUCCUUGCCUUGGAGACAUGGGGGCUUUAUGAAAUUCUGCAUCGAUCCUCUCCUCGGCUCAACUCCCCAUUCCCGAGUCUGUGUCCUCCCCGUGCCCAGGACAUCCGGGCACCUGCCACAUGCAGGAGCUCACCCUAGAGCAGAUGCUGAGCCCUUUCCACUCAGCUCCAGUACAACGGAGCCCAAAGGUCUCUGCUGUCAUUGGAUUUUGUGCAAAAAGAAUUUUCUCUCACCUUUGUUGAUUUCUUCCCAAACCUUUAUUUUUCUUUAAGUUCUGGAUAAUUCAAAAAUAAAAACAAAAUAAAAGAGAAUGGGAAAUAGGGAGAAAGAUCUUUGGACACGGAGGGAAGGAGGGGAGGGGGUGAGAGCUGAGAUGCGCUGGGGAGACACAGGGUCCCCUCCCCACCUUGAAGGCCGUCGUCACCUACGGCAAACAUGGACUGAUAAAAACGAAGACUUUGAAAAUGGUCCUACGGGCUAAAACAUUUGGCCACUUCUGCCUUGCGCGCUGCCUCGGUCGAUGUGCCCCUGUCUUUCGAAUGGAUGUUUAUGCUCCCGUGGGCCUUCUGCAGUAGAGAACAGCAGAGAUUCCUGUUUCCAGGCCCCCGCUGGUGCCUGCAGGAGACAGGUGAUGAGUGCCUUGUUAGGAAAUCCAUCUCUGGCGCAGACAGGAAGUACAGGGAGACAAAGCUCAGUCAGCAGAGUCCUCGCCCUGACCCGGGUGUUGGCUCCUCACUGAGGGCCCUUUCUGGGCACCGAGGAGGCAUCGAGGCGGCUGUGGGAGCCCUAGAGAGGGCACUCGGCUUUGUUCAAACCUGGCAUUUUAAUAUUCUAUAAUAACAUUGUUAAUGCAAAUUGUAAAUUUUGCAAAAUGAUCGAAACAAGUCAUAUAACAGAGAGGCAC
rnacentral:lncRNA from 1 species